rnacentral:tRNA from 1 species
AUUUUAAUAAUUUAUUUAAAAUAUUAAAUUGCAAAUUUAAAAAAAUUAUUUAUUUAAUUUAAAAUU